UCCUACGGGAGGCAGCAGUGGGGAAUCUUCCGCAAUGGACGAAAGUCUGACGGAGCAACGCCGCGUGAGUGAUGAAGGCUUUCGGGUCGUAAAACUCUGUUGUUAGGGAAGAACAAGUGCUAGUUGAAUAAGCUGGCACCUUGACGGUACCUAACCAGAAAGCCACGGCUAACUACGUGCCAGCAGCCGCGGUAAUACGUAGGUGGCAAGCGUUAUCCGGAAUUAUUGGGCGUAAAGCGCGCGCAGGUGGUUUCUUAAGUCUGAUGUGAAAGCCCACGGCUCAACCGUGGAGGGUCAUUGGAAACUGGGAGACUUGAGUGCAGAAGAGGAAAGUGGAAUUCCAUGUGUAGCGGUGAAAUGCGUAGAGAUAUGGAGGAACACCAGUGGCGAAGGCGACUUUCUGGUCUGUAACUGACACUGAGGCGCGAAAGCGUGGGGAGCAAACAGGAUUAGAUACCCUGGUAGUCCACGCCGUAAACGAUGAGUGCUAAGUGUUAGAGGGUUUCCGCCCUUUAGUGCUGAAGUUAACGCAUUAAGCACUCCGCCUGGGGAGUACGGCCGCAAGGCUGAAACUCAAAUGAAUUGACGGA
rnacentral:rRNA from 1 species